rnacentral:ncRNA from 1 species
GUCAUGAGGCGGAGUCUGAAGGAAGCCCAAAGCAAAGCCUCGGCCUGACGAACAGGAACUGCAUAAAAGGCAUACUUGAAACGGACGAGUUUCCCAAGCAAAACAGAGUCCGAUACUGCCCGAAUUUCAAGGUGUAAGUGCAGCAGAUAUAUGAGGUGAAUG